UGUAUUGAAAUUCCGAUCAGAGGAUCGAGGGUAAGAACUUUGCAAUGAAAUUAUGAAAAUUGUGACAUGUGGAUAUUGGAUAUUGUUUGCUUGCCAUCGUGCUCAUUCGCACACGCUUGUGAGGGUAGCUCCCUACAAGCCGGCACUCCGGAGUUGGCCUAUGCGACAGUUGCUCGCCCGUGCGGGAUUGGGUGCCGAAGUGGAUUGCCGUGGGGAGUGUAUACUACCACGGGGCCAUUAGGCGCGGCGCAAGCUGGACUACCUUGNNNNNN
rnacentral:lncRNA from 1 species